rnacentral:lncRNA from 1 species
GACUCACAGGAAGGUUUAUGUUGUACAGAAUUCUGUCCUUGGUGAUGGGCUGCCAUUGCCUAUGCCUGGACUGUUCUGCCCGUGGAUCUGCCUGGCGUGGGGUACUUCCAGAUGCCGCCCGUGAUGAUGAUUCCUGGGAAUUUGGCAAUAACAAAAGGGUUGCAAAAACACAGCUCUAGAAAUGAACCACGAGAGUCCAGGGUGGUGUGCUCCAACUGCUGCCACGCACAAGCAGACCAGCUAUGUGACGAACAAACAGAUGUCUUGGAGUGACAGUGGCUGUCCUGCUGUGUCUUCUCGGAGAUCAAGCCAUCCAUGAGAAAAGCCAGCAUGAAAUUCUCCACAGGUGCUUCAUUUCGCCACCUUCACUGCAAAUGUGGAUAGAAUUCACGGCCAGAGUCUGUGGAUAUUUGAAGAGAUGAAUAAUUGUUUUCUUAGCAGAUUGAGCCGGUCUCUGGUGCUGAUAGUGAUUAGCUGGUGGGUCUGUCUCUUCCCCAGGCAACUUGGGAGCUUCCCUACCCCCAGCUGGGAUGUAGUGAUCCCUGAGGAAGAAUACGACUCAGUACCCAAGUAUCUCUCCUCGCUAAAAUUGCAGCUAUUAGGAUUAUUCUUUAGGGCUGAAUUAACAUUUCAGAUAUAUGUAAAUCCAUAA